rnacentral:lncRNA from 1 species
CACUUGUUACUAUGAUCUUUAUAGUUUGCUCAUUUCCAUAUGUUGUUCUCAAUUUGUUUUGCUCAGAAUGGACAUAUCAAGUCAAUUGAGCAUAUCUUGCCACUGUUUGAGUUUCUCCCUGAUAUCAUUCUCUUGAGUUUCUCCCUGAUAUCAUUCUCUUGGACAGUGACUACAGCAUGUCUUAGGUCACUAGUACACACUUGCACAUCUUGUGAACACCUAAGGACAUGAUCUUAGGUUUCAACCUUUCAUCAUGAUUUUGAGCAAGUUCCACUUCUAGAAAAUCAUGUUUAGGCUCAAUCAUAAUCUUUUGCUAUGCUUAAGGACCUCUUAUCCUUAGUUACAUUUUAUUCUUGUAUCUCUCUCUCGCCGCUCUAUUAUCUAC